CCAAGAGGAGAUCAACAAGGCUCCCCUCGCCCUGGCCUCCUCAUCAAUCCCUUGAUGCAAUAACCUUACAAAGAAUCCUUGCAGCUUUCAACUUGGGCACAACUUGGGCAAUUCCUAGCAAUUGCAGAGCCCUGAAUUAGACAAAUCCUGGCCAUUCAUUCGUAGAUCAAGGGCCAGUGACCACCACUGAGCAAGGGCAUGCAGAUCAUCUUCCAGUAGACCCAACAAAAAAAACAGAGAGGGCAUAGAGAGAUUCAACAGAGAUUGAAAUCGGCUAGAGAGAGAAAUUAAGAGAGAAACCUGUGAUGAAGAACAGUGAUGACGAACGGCGACCAUGAGCUGUGACAACCCACAGCAACCACGAACUGUGACGACGAACGGCAAUGAAGAACAAUGACAAUGAAUGGAGAGGUGGCUAGGGUUUGCGGAGGAGGAGAAGAUUCAAAACAUGAGAUUACACAGUUAUUGGUUUCGACGAGUAUUAGAAUAAGCCAACCCGUUAUGCAACUUGAUCUAAUGAACCCGGCUUUUUUCGAGUGGGCCACUUUCAGAUCUUGCGGACGGAUCAGCCCAAGGCCAUUUAUGCACAGCCCUAGUAUCUACUAACUUUUUUUUUCAAAGUAGUAUUUGUGCUUAACCUUCCAGUUUCUAUUACAACUAUAGAACAAGCAUUUUCAGUUAUGAAUUUUGUUAAAAUUAGGCUUUGCAAUAAAAUUUAAGAUAAAUUUUUUGUUGAUUCUUUGAUGAUAUAUAUCA